GGAAGCAUGUCCGAGAGGUUGAAGGAAACAGUCUUGAAAACUGUCAUGGGGUAAAACCCAUCGUGGGUUCGAAUCCCACUGCUUCCU
rnacentral:tRNA from 1 species